GGGUUCAGAACGUCGUGAGACAGUUCGGUCCCUAUCCGUCGUGGGCGUAGGAAAUUUGAGAGGAGCUGUCCUUAGUACGAGAGGACCGGGAUGGACAUACCUCUGGUGUACCAGUUGUCGUGCCAACGGCAUAGCUGGGUAGCUAUGUGUGGACGGGAUAAGUGCUGAAAGCAUCUAAGCAUGAAGCCCCCCUCAAGAUGAGAUUUCCCAACUUCGGUUAUAAGAUCCCUCAAAGAUGAUGAGGUUAAUAGGUUCGAGGUGGAAGCAUGGUGACAUGUGGAGCUGACGAAUACUAAUCGAUCGAAGACUUAAUCAA
rnacentral:rRNA from 1 species